rnacentral:ncRNA from 2 species
CUUGGUCAUUUAGAGGAAGUAAAAGUCGUAACAAGGUUUCCGUAGGUGAACCUGCGGAAGGAUCAUUACAAGUGAGGCUACCGAACGUUGGAAACAGCGGUUAGGAGCUUACACCCACCCGUGUUUACAUACUAUUGUUGCUUUGGCGGGCCGUGGCCUCCACUGCGGGCUCUGCUCGUGUGUGCCCGCCAGAGGACCAAACUCUGAAUGUUAGUGAUGUCUGAGUACUAUCUAAUAGUUAAAACUUUCAACAACGGAUCUCUUGGUUCUGGCAUCGAUGAAGAACGCAGCGAAAUGCGAUAAGUAAUGUGAAUUGCAGAAUUCAGUGAAUCAUCGAAUCUUUGAACGCACAUUGCGCCCUGUGGUAUUCCGCAGGGCAUGCCUGUUCGAGCGUCAUUUAACCACUCACGCCUAGCGUGGUAUUGGGGCACGCGGUCUCGCGGCCCUCAAAAUUAGUGGCGGCGCCGGUGGGCUCUAAGCGUAGUACAUACUCCCGCUAUAGAGUUCCCCCGGUGGCUCGCCAGAACCCCCAAUUUUUUACAGGUUGACCUCGGAUCAGGUAGGGAUACCCGCUGAACUUAAGCAUAUCAAUAAGCGGAGGA